AAUAAUCCAGGUGUGUGUUCGACGAGUCUCCGUUAGACGUGCUGCUACGCAGAAAAGUCCGACGCAAACGGAGUCAUCUUUUGAGCGAACUAAGAUGACUUUUAUUCAUGAGCUUUCUUUAUUACAGCCGCUGUAGGAUCAGCAUUAUCUCGACAGACUGACAACUGGUUACUAACGCUAUACAUAUGGCAAUGAAACACAUACUGCAGACUUGGAUUUGACAGCAGAUGGGAGUGAAGGCAAUCACACUCAACUAACUUUACCCCAGUCAUUACAAGUGGAGCCCCAUAGGCAUAGAGUGUGGAUACAUAAAGAAACCCAUCGAGUUGUUUUCUGAUGGUUUCGGUCCUGUGCCUGCCUGCCUGCCGCCACAGGAAACCCAACAGC